rnacentral:rRNA from 1 species
AGAGAGAGACAUGCGCGCAUAUCAAUAAGCGGAGGAAAAGAAACUAACUAGGAUUCCCUCAGUAACGGCGAGUGAAGCGGGAAGAGCUCAAAUUUGAAAUCUUCAAGGUUCUACCUUGACGAAUUGUAGUUUAAAGAAGUGUUUUCUGUUGGAGUUUUGGUAAAAGUUCUUUGGAAUAGGACAUCAUAGAGGGUGAGAAUCCCGUAUUUGACCAUUAUUUCCAGCUUUGUGAUACACUUUCAAAGAGUCGGAUUGUUUGGGAAUGCAGUCCAAAAUGGGUGGUAAAUUUCAUCUAAAGCUAAAUAUUGGCGAGAGACCGAUAGCGAACAAGUACCGUGAGGGAAAGAUGAAAAGAACUUUGAAAAGAGAGUUAAACAGUACGUGAAAUUGUCAAAAGGGAAGCGUUUGACACCAGUGUUGUUUUCUCGAAAAUCAAUUAAAAAAGGCAGGAUUUUGUGUUGUAUUGACUUUAUCAGCUUUCUGCACUCUUUUCUUGUCUUUUUUAAUGCACUUUUCGUUUAACAAGUCAACAUCAAUUUCUUUUGUUGUAAAAGGGUCAUUGGAAGGUGGCUUUCUUUUCGGAGAAAGUGUUUAUAGCCUUUGGCCUCUGCAAUCGGAGAGAUUGAGGUCUGCAGCGUAGAUCCUUCGGGGUUAGAUACAUUUGUGCUAAGUUAUAGCCUUUUCAUAGACAACUUGUUGACUAUGAUCAGUCAUGUAGCUUACUCGCUUAUGCUAUUUUACCUACGCUUAGGAUGUUGAUGUGAUACUGCGAGCA